UACGUAGGGGGCUAGCGUUGUCCGGAAUCAUUGGGCGUAAAGCGCGUGUAGGCGGCCCGGUAAGUCCGCUGUGAAAGUCGGGGGCUCAACCCUCGAAUGCCGGUGGAUACUGUCGGGCUCGAGUGCGGAAGAGGCGAGUGGAAUUCCUGGUGUAGCGGUGAAAUGCGCAGAUAUCGUAAGGAAGACCAGUGGCGAAGGCGGGUCUCUGGCAGUUCCUGACGCUGAGGCACGAAGGUCAGGGGAGCAAACGGG
rnacentral:rRNA from 1 species